GACGAACGCUGGCGGCGUGCUUAACACAUGCAAGUCGAACGGAAAGGCCCUGCUUUUGUGGGGUGCUCGAGUGGCGAACGGGUGAGUAACACGUGAGUAACCUGCCCUUGACUUUGGGAUAACUUCAGGAAACUGGGGCUAAUACCGGAUAGGAGCUCCUGCUGCAUGGUGGGGGUUGGAAAGUUUCGGCGGUUGGGGAUGGACUCGCGGCUUAUCAGCUUGUUGGUGGGGUAGUGGCUUACCAAGGCUUUGACGGGUAGCCGGCCUGAGAGGGUGACCGGCCACGUUGGGAAUGAGAUACGGCCCAGACUCCUACGGGAGGCAGCAGUGGGGAAUAUUGCACAGUGGGCGGAAGCCUGAUGCAGCAACGCCGCGUGCGGGAUGACGGCCUUCGGGUUGUAAACCGCUUUCGCCUGUGACGAAGCGUGAGUGACGGUAAUGGGUAAAGAAGCACCGGCUAACUACGUG
rnacentral:rRNA from 1 species